UUAUGUCGGCGUGUGAGCGCGGUGUUAUGGAGUGGGGUAGCCUAAAGGUCGCGCGAGAUAUGCGCCAAAUGUUCCCUGCUGUGGCACGUGCCAGGUUCCUCUCUGGGCGCGCGUCUGGUCCGUUGACUGGAGGAAGGCGCAUCAUCCAUCUCUCCUGCUCUGACUAGAUUCCCGGAGACCUCGGUCUUCGCUCAUUACGGCGACGCAAGAGCGGCCCAUAACGACGAAAAACAGCCAUAUGGUGUCUCUCCUGGAAUGCUGGUAUACAGUGAAGUGUGCAGCUGCAGGAGUUAGGAAAAAUGCAUCAUGGAGUUGCUGGUAGGACUGGAGGAAACUACUGGGAUAAGUGCUGUCUGAUGCUUAGACACAAACGCGCACACACACGGGGUGGCAGGUGUGAGAGGCUGGGUUUGAUGUCACAUCGGGGGCCAGUCCCUUCCCUAUUAGGCUGAGCAGACCACCUGUCUGGCUCUUGGAUGAAGAGCUGUGCUUCAGGCCCGCCGGACUCAUUAAGGCCCCGCGAGCAAUUACUGCCUCCUCCUGCCGAGAAAUCGACCCCAUGCCCCACUGAAGCUCAGCUGAAAUCCCUCAAUCCUCUCCUCACCACCUCCUCAUCUUGUGUUUUACCAAUUCACAAAAAAACUACCUGCACGAUCCAACUAUAUAACAUGCUAUUCAUAGAUCUAUUCCAGUAACACCUCCGCAGUCCCGAUGACCCACUGCCCUGUCUCUCAACCACACUGCGGGUUGGUGAAAAUCUGGAUUUAUAUCACCAGCGAUUCUCAGCCGUACUGACGAGUUUCCAAGGAACUUUUUUACCAUCUCUGUUUCUCUGACCUUUGCUUUAAGGGCGGAUUUCAUGUGCUGAACAUUUUGACUAUAUUGAUAUUACCCUGUUCGUGUUGCUUCACCACAAAUGAAGAGAGCAUGCAAAGCAUCAUUAACCUUCAAAAAGGUUCUACAAUCGUUAGCAUCGGCUACAAAUUUCACAGUGCAAGUGCUAUUAUUAACCUUAACUCCAGAGACAACAGAGCUGCCAGAAAUGGUGGUACUUGAGGGGGAAAGUCAUCAUUUAUAAAUGACCCAAACAGGCAGUUUUAUGAUUUAUAAAACACUAUCCGUUUGUUUUUCACUUUUAUGAAGGCACAUGGGUGUGUUUUAUCCAGUUCAAGUGUGAAAGAAUUGUUUGGUUACCAAACAACAAACAGAAACAAUGUUAGCUUUUUUGAAGGUCCAAAUGCAUAUUUUAAAGUAUUUGAAUACCACAAAGUCAAUUUGUGCUUGCUGAUAAAUAAAACACAUUCCAAAAUGGAAUGUUUUUAAAAUGUGAUGCACAUAAUUGACAGUGGCCUGUCUUGGAAUAAAUAUUUCCUGCAUAGUUUAUAUUACAUUGUAUUAAUAUCACUGAUUAUUGAUGCUGUAUAUUGACCCAGAUAUAUCAGUAUUGAUAUUUUGGUUGCAUUCCAGAGGAAAAUGCAAUAGAAGUAGAAGUAGAAGACUAGACCAAACGUCUCAGUCUAUUGAAUCUCGUGCCAAGGAGAAACAAUUGAAAUAUCAAAGAUAUACAA